rnacentral:rRNA from 1 species
ACGCUAGCUACAGGCUUAACACAUGCAAGUCGAGGGGAAACGACAUUGAAGCUUGCUUCGAUGGUCGUCGACCGGCGCACGGGUGAGUAACGCGUAUCCAACCUGCCUCUGACCAAGGGAUAACCCGGCGAAAGUCGGACUAAUACCUUAUGAGGUUUUCUGCAGACAUCUAAUGAAAACGAAAGAUUUAUCGGUCAGUGAUGGGGAUGCGUCUGAUUAGCUUGUUGGCGGGGUAACGGCCCACCAAGGCAACGAUCAGUAGGGGUUCUGAGAGGAAGGUCCCCCACAUUGGAACUGAGACACGGUCCAAACUCCUACGGGAGGCAGCAGUGAGGAAUAUUGGUCAAUGGGCGAGAGCCUGAACCAGCCAAGUAGCGUGCAGGAUGACGGCCCUAUGGGUUGUAAACUGCUUUUAUGUGGGGAUAAAGUGAGCUACGUGUAGUUUAUUGCAGGUACCACAUGAAUAAGGACCGGCUAAUUCCGUGCCAGCAGCCGCGGUAAUACGGAAGGUCCAGGCGUUAUCCGGAUUUAUUGGGUUUAAAGGGAGCGUAGGCCGUGGAUUAAGCGUGUUGUGAAAUGUAGACGCUCAACGUCUGAAUUGCAGCGCGAACUGGUUCACUUGAGUAUGCACAACGUAGGCGGAAUUCGUCGUGUAGCGGUGAAAUGCUUAGAUAUGACGAAGAACUCCGAUUGCGAAGGCAGCUUACGGGAGCACAACUGACGCUGAAGCUCGAAGGUGCGGGUAUCAAACAGGAUUAGAUACCCUGGUAGUCCGCACAGUAAACGAUGGAUGCCCGUUGUUAGUUCACUUAUGAAUUAGCGACCAAGCGAAAGCAUUAAGCAUCCCACCUGGGGAGUACGCCGGCAACGGUGAAACUCAAAGGAAUUGACGGGGGCCCGCACAAGCG